rfam:Triticum aestivum genome assembly, contig: Triticum_aestivum_CS42_TGACv1_scaffold_405455_5BL
AUUGUACUCCCUCCGUCCGGAAAUACUUGUCGAAGAAAUGCCUAAAAAUGAAUGUAUCUAGAACUAAAAUACAUCUAGGUACAAAUAUUUCUCCGACGAGUAUUUCUGGACGGAGGGAGUAAUAU